AAAAAAUUAGUGCCAUUUUUCUUAAACUUAAGUGUUGAUAGUUAUCAGGAAUUUCUUCUGACACAAGACUGCAGUUCCUGGGCUUGUUCUAUUUUUGUAAGUGUGUGAUGUUCUUUUAUGAAAGUUACUGCAGAGCUGAUUUUUACAGCACUAUUUAUUGCAUUUGUGGAAACUGGGGAGCAGAGUUAGUGAAGCAGAUUGUCAGUGCUGUUCUGGGUAUAACUAAGUACAGAAUUCCAAAAUUACAGUAUUUUGAUGAUAUAAGUUUAAUAACCAGAACAAUAGCAAACUUUGAGGAAUCAGCAUAAGACUAGAGUACAAAAAGAAGCAAUCAAAAAUGUGUUUAAUGAAUUUGACUGAAGAGAAAAAGAAAGUAAAACAAAUCUUUUCCCUACGUGAGAAACAAGUGGCUGUUUCCAAUGGCACAGCUCUCCAAGCCAGAUAUCUAUAUGCUGAUCAAGGUCCAUGAAACAGUGGUGCUGAUGUGGAUUCCUGAGGCUCUGAGACAGGACAACCAGUUGCACAGGAGUCUGGCAUUCAUUUUAUCUGCUAGAUUUACAGACAACAUUGAAAAAUGUUUUAUAAAAUGGGUUUUGUUAUGGCCUGAAGAUGCAGCUUAUCACAGGUCCACAAAGACUGCCAUGUUCAAGGAGAUGAGCAGUUUUCACUACAUAUCACUUCUGAAAGUGGUCAGCACCAUGUCCUGUCUUGGGAGACACAGCAACAGCACCUACCACGUUUCGCAAGUAAAUCUCAGGGCACCUCUACUUAGAGAUAGGAAAAACAGAGGACGGGGAGCUGAAGUGACAUUUGGGACAUCACCCAGCAGCCAAGACAGACAAUCCAGAUCUUUGGAACAUUUCAGUGCUGGAAGGACACUUCACGAAGCUUUCUUCCAGUAUUCACUGAAAGGUUUGCUGUAG
rnacentral:lncRNA from 1 species